GUCCCGCCUGCCCAGUGAUAUAUUUUUAACGGCCGCGGUAUUCUAACCGUGCAAAGGUAGCGUAAUCACUUGUCUUCUAAAUAAAGACCAGUAUGAACGGCUAAAUGAGGACAAACCUGUCUCCUACAACAAAUCAGUGAAACUGAUCUCCCAGUACAAAAGCUGGGAUAAACACAUAAGACGAGAAGACCCUGUGGAGCUUAUAAAUAAACGAUCAACAAAUAACAACCAAAACAAUAAUGAUCGUACAUUUUAAGUUGGGGCGACUUCGGAAAAAAACAAAACUUCCGAGAAAGGGACCACCUAGUCCGCCCUAAGGAGUACAACCCUAAGGCA
rnacentral:rRNA from 2 species